rnacentral:rRNA from 1 species
CGCAUCUUUCUAUGGCAAUGGGUGCGAGGCCGUUUACCCUCGGGCACGGAAGUUAGAAAACGGAAUGGUCCCGGGGAUGGAUUAUGCCCCCUAUGUGGCAUACCGGAAGACUCCAACCAUAUCUUCUUCCGGUACCCAUCUGUAGUCCUCCUCUGGAGCUGCAUCAGGGAGGUGAUUCGCGAUGAUUGGAACCAUGAUAACCUCCCCAAUCUAUUUCAGGUGGUCCUAAGCCAAGAGGCCAGGACGCGCCCUAGCCUAUGGGUAGUAGUGGGGACGAUAACUUGGACUCUGUGGACG